rnacentral:rRNA from 1 species
AGCCGCCGCGGUAAUUCGGGGAGGGCAAGUGUUGCCCGGAUUCACUGGGCUUAAAGGGGGUGUAGGCGGUCAGGUGUGUCGGACGUGAAAUCCACCGGCUUAACUGGUGGGCUGCGUUCGAUACUACCUGACUAGAGGUCGCCAGAGGAGAGCGGAACUCCCGGUGUAGCGGUGAAAUGCGUGGAUAUCGGGGAGAACGCCAGUGGGGAAGCCGGCUCUCUGGGGCGAUCCUGACGCUGAGGCCCGAAAGCUGGGGGAGCGAAGGGGAUUAGAUACCCCCGUAGUCCCAGCCGUAAACGAUGCGGGCUAGGUGUCCUCGACGUAAGUCGGGGGUACCGUAGGGAAACCGUUAAGCCCGCCGCCUGGGGAGUACACCCGCAAGGGUGAAACUCAAAGGAAUUGACGGGGGGGCGCACAAGCGGUGGAGCGCGUGGUUCAAUUCGAUGCUAACCGAAGAACCUUACCUAGGCUUGACAUGCUGGUAGUAUCCCGAUAGAAAUAUCGAGAGAUUCUGACUUGUCGGAAAGCCAGCACAGGUGCUGCACGGCUGUCGUCAGCUCGUGCCGUGAGGUGUUGGGUUAAGUCCCGCAACGAGCGCAACCCUCGCCCUUAGUUGCCACUCCUGAUAUAUAUCAGGAAGCACUCUAAGGGGACUGCCGCCGAUGAGGCGGAGGAAGGUGAGGAUGACGUCAAGUCCGUAUGGCCUUUAUGUCCAGGGCUACACACGCGCUACAAUGGGCGGUACAGAGGGUUGCAACCCCGCAAGGGGGAGCCAAUCCCUAAAACCGCCCCCAGUUCGGAUCGGGGUCUGCAAUUCGACCCCGUGAAGCCGGAAUCGCUAGUAAUCGCCGGUCAGCAAUACGGCGGUGAAUACGUUCCCGCCCCUUGCACACACCGCCCG